UAUGAAGGGGGCUAGCGUUGCUCGGAAUUACUGGGCGUAAAGGGCGCGUAGGCGGCACUGUUAGUCAGGCGUGAAAUUCCUGGGCUCAACCUGGGGACUGCGCUUGAUACGGCAGAGCUUGAGGAUGGAAGAGGGUCGCGGAAUUCCCAGUGUAGAGGUGAAAUUCGUAGAUAUCAGGAGGAACACCUGUGGCGAAGGCGGCCAUCUGGACGGUGACUGACGCUGAGACGCGAAAGCGUGGGUAGCAAACAGG
rnacentral:rRNA from 1 species